rnacentral:rRNA from 1 species
UACGUAGGGCGCAAGCGUUAUCCGGAAUUAUUGCGCGUAAAGAGCUCGUAGGCGGUUUGUCGCGUCUGCCGUGAAAGUCCGGGGCUCAACUCCGGAUCUGCGGUGGGUACGGGCAGACUAGAGUGAUGUAGGGGAGACUGGAAUUCCUGGUGUAGCGGUGAAAUGCGCAGAUAUCAGGAGGAACACCGGUGGCGAAGGCGGGUCUCUGGGCCGAUACUGACGCUGAGGAGCGAAAGCGUGGGGAGCGAACAGG